rnacentral:lncRNA from 1 species
GAAAGUCCCAGGCAGGCAGCAGGCAUCCUCACUUGCGUCUUUCAGGAUGAGCAGGAUGUUAUUGUCUCACAUUUGCUGAAUCUGGAAGGCACGUCUCUCCAGUGGUUUUUGGAGCAAAUGUUUUGAUGGGCCAGCGUAGACACCGCCCAAACAUACAAUCAACUUGCCCAGACUCCAUCUGUAAGCAAAUGCUACUCAUGAUGUGCUGUGGCACUUUGGUGGGCACAGGAAACUAAGGAGAGCUAACAUUCAGGCCUUCACUUCAAGGAGCCAAUCUUUGCAAGAGUGAAGAGAGAAGGCCUUGAAUCGUGUAAUCAUGUAACGAUUCCUGCUCCGGGACUUGGGAGAGGUGAACUUGGGGACAAUAUCCACUCAUGCCUUCUGCUUCCAGAGACCGUUUCUGAAGCAGGAACCCAGCGGAUACACACUGGAAGCUGGCUGUGUGUAAAAGCUACCAGAGAGUCUCCAGAGAGGGGUAAUUCAGUUGCUGAAAAAUUAUUGCUAUGAAUUAUACAGCAUGGAGCUAAAUAAAUGAGUUUUUGAGACACUGGAGCGAGCGGUAUUCCACACAUGUGUAUAUCUACACUUGCUUAUCCACUCAUCUGUUGGUGGAUAUUUAAGUUGCUUCCUCCUCUGGGCUAUUGUGAACAGGAAUACUGUGAACAUCUGUGUGAGGUGAUGGCCUGAGCACCUGUUUCUAAUUCUUCGGGGGAAUGGCAAUACCCACUGUUCUGGGUCUUCCUGAAUCAAUUGACAAUCAAGAACACCCC